UAUGCCGCAAGAAAUCCUUCUGUAGCGAGGAAGUCAACCAGCCCGGCCAAGGAGGGCUCUUUGUUGUGUGGUGCCACACAAAGCAGCUAUCUAAAACAAAAUGUGAGACUUUUGAAAGUAAAGCUGAGUGGCCUUUUAACCUCCUUGGGGGGUUCGCGGAUCCAAGUGGGGAGCUACCAACUCACUGAGUCCCUUUCCUAAGAAAACAAGUGGACAGAGGCCAAGGCAUUGCAUGCACUCCCAGGCAUUCCGGGCCCCGGCCACCCCAGUUAUCGGAGCAGAUGAGGAACAUCUCUCUGGACCUUGUUCAGCUUCUCUGCCAGGGUCUCGAGCUCCGUCAGCGCCAUCUGAAGGGGCAGCCUGUCAGGAUGUCCUUUGGCGGUGUUCUUCAGCAUGUCCUGUGAGCAGGAGGCAGAGUAUGGGUGGUCAGCAAGGAUGCUUCUGACGCUCUACCAGGAGGAAACUUUCCAAAUGUGUGGGAAAUACUUUCUACCCCAGUUCCAAGGAGGACUUGCUGCUGCUGCUGGCCCCGAGGAGGGGCCUUACCUGGAUAACUCAGGCCCACUGCUCCAGGGGAGGUUGUGGCCCCUUAUGCUGCUUCAGAGAGAAAGUUCCACCCAGCCCUUGUCGGUCACCUUGACCAGCAUCUCUGAGCAUGCAGGGAGAUGUCAGUACCGGACCGCCUGGGGCCACCUGAGGUCCUGACUCGGGGGCUACAUCUGGUACAUCUCUGUAUAAUAAGCCUGCACAGUGAAGGUCACUGCAUAGAGCACAGCAAGGCUUGGCUAAGCCUAGACUCAAGGUCACCUGCCCCAGGGAGGCCAGCAGGGACUGUGGCCACUGCAGUGCCACAGUUUAUACCCAUCAUCGAGUUCCUGACAAAACCCUCAGAGGAAAUCAAUUUUUAACUCGGCCUCCGAGUCCUGCCUGCAAGACCAGCAGUCACCAUGGGACCUCUCUCAAUGGUGGGAUGGAAGAAGGCAGUAGAGGCUCUCGGCUCUGACAUCAGAAGGCACAAGCGCCACAUGGCCAACACAGGCUCCUCCUCGCACCUCACAGGGUCAGCCUCUCCAGCUCUUGUCUACCUGCUCUGUCCCAGAAAAGAGCAUCAUUCCCAACCCGACGUCUAGACUGGGCUGGGCUGGUAGUGGGCUACUGUUACUCCCUAUGCCAAGCUGGGAUGGGAGGCUCAGGUAUCUGUGGGUUCCGAUCGAAUGUCCUUUAACGUCUAUAUCCAUAUAAAUACACGUUUAAGGCAGGCAAACAAAAGUUCCUUCAAAAAUCUAUGAUCCAGCCUAGAGCCCCUGAACCUCCCCUCGUCGACACAGAUACCCAGGGACCUAACAGUGUUGACUCUCUCCAAUAAGCAACAUCGUGCACUCCAGGCAGGGCUCCGUCCAGGUUCUUUCCAAGGUACUUUGACAGGAGAUAUGCUAUGAGACAGGGUUAAAGCCCAAAGCAGGGAGAGGGUGCUUACCUUUAAGAACUCAAGGAAAGCAGGCUUUGUGGCACACGUCUUCUUGAGGACAGCCACGGCCGUGCUGAAGUUGUUCACGUACUCGCUGUAAGCAUCCAGCACCAUGGACUUGGAGAACUGGAGCACAGGGAAUGGAAAACUCAUGGUUUGGAACCCACCCCUCGCAGUGCUCUCCUCACACCGCGACGGCUAUGACUGCAGGAGCUCUUUCUCCCCAUGUCCUCAUGGGGCACUUGAUGCCUGCCUGGUGGGAAAUCAUGGGCUGACCCCAGUGCGCCUAUCCCUGCACUUGGAGUUUGAGUGGUAAAUACCCUGGGCUUCAUGGGAC
rnacentral:lncRNA from 1 species